rnacentral:rRNA from 1 species
AGCGUACACGGUGGAUGCCCUGGCAGUCAGAGGCGAUGAAGGACGUGCUAAUCUGCGAUAAGCGUCGGUAAGGUGAUAUGAACCGUUAUAACCGGCGAUUUCCGAAUGGGGAAACCCAGUGUGUUUCGACACACUAUCAUUAACUGAAUCCAUAGGUUAAUGAGGCGAACCGGGGGAACUGAAACAUCUAAGUACCCCGAGGAAAAGAAAUCAACCGAGAUUCCCCCAGUAGCGGCGAGCGAACGGGGAGCAGCCCAGAGCCUGAAUCAGUGUGUGUGUUAGUGGAAGCGUCUGGAAAGGCGCGCGAUACAGGGUGACAGCCCCGUACACAAAAAUGCACAUGCUGUGAGCUCGAUGAGUAGGGCGGGACACGUGGUAUCCUGUCUGAAUAUGGGGGGACCAUCCUCCAAGGCUAAAUACUCCUGACUGACCGAUAGUGAACCAGUACCGUGAGGGAAAGGCGAAAAGAACCCCGGCGAGGGGAGUGAAAAAGAACCUGAAACCGUGUACGUACAAGCAGUGGGAGCACGCUUCGGCGUGUGACUGCGUACCUUUUGUAUAAUGGGUCAGCGACUUAUAUUCUGUAGCAAGGUUAACCGAAUAGGGGAGCCGAAGGGAAACCGAGUCUUAACUGGGCGUUAAGUUGCAGGGUAUAGACCCGAAACCCGGUGAUCUAGCCAUGGGCAGGUUGAAGGUUGGGUAACACUAACUGGAGGACCGAACCGACUAAUGUUGAAAAAUUAGCGGAUGACUUGUGGCUGGGGGUGAAAGGCCAAUCAAACCGGGAGAUAGCUGGUUCUCCCCGAAAGCUAUUUAGGUAGCGCCUCGUGAAUUCAUCUCCGGGGGUAGAGCACUGUUUCGGCAAGGGGGUCAUCCCGACUUACCAACCCGAUGCAAACUGCGAAUACCGGAGAAUGUUAUCACGGGAGACACACGGCGGGUGCUAACGUCCGUCGUGAAGAGGGAAACAACCCAGACCGCCAGCUAAGGUCCCAAAGUCAUGGUUAAGUGGGAAACGAUGUGGGAAGGCCCAGACAGCCAGGAUGUUGGCUUAGAAGCAGCCAUCAUUUAAAGAAAGCGUAAUAGCUCACUGGUCGAGUCGGCCUGCGCGGAAGAUGUAACGGGGCUAAACCAUGCACCGAAGCUGCGGCAGCGACGCUUAUGCGUUGUUGGGUAGGGGAGCGUUCUGUAAGCCUGUGAAGGUGUGCUGUGAGGCAUGCUGGAGGUAUCAGAAGUGCGAAUGCUGACAUAAGUAACGAUAAAGCGGGUGAAAAGCCCGCUCGCCGGAAGACCAAGGGUUCCUGUCCAACGUUAAUCGGGGCAGGGUGAGUCGACCCCUAAGGCGAGGCCGAAAGGCGUAGUCGAUGGGAAACAGGUUAAUAUUCCUGUACUUGGUGUUACUGCGAAGGGGGGACGGAGAAGGCUAUGUUGGCCGGGCGACGGUUGUCCCGGUUUAAGCGUGUAGGCUGGUUUUCCAGGCAAAUCCGGAAAAUCAAGGCUGAGGCGUGAUGACGAGGCACUACGGUGCUGAAGCAACAAAUGCCCUGCUUCCAGGAAAAGCCUCUAAGCAUCAGGUAACAUCAAAUCGUACCCCAAACCGACACAGGUGGUCAGGUAGAGAAUACCAAGGCGCUUGAGAGAACUCGGGUGAAGGAACUAGGCAAAAUGGUGCCGUAACUUCGGGAGAAGGCACGCUGAUAUGUAGGUGAAGCGACUUGCUCGUGGAGCUGAAAUCAGUCGAAGAUACCAGCUGGCUGCAACUGUUUAUUAAAAACACAGCACUGUGCAAACACGAAAGUGGACGUAUACGGUGUGACGCCUGCCCGGUGCCGGAAGGUUAAUUGAUGGGGUUAGCGCAAGCGAAGCUCUUGAUCGAAGCCCCGGUAAACGGCGGCCGUAACUAUAACGGUCCUAAGGUAGCGAAAUUCCUUGUCGGGUAAGUUCCGACCUGCACGAAUGGCGUAAUGAUGGCCAGGCUGUCUCCACCCGAGACUCAGUGAAAUUGAACUCGCUGUGAAGAUGCAGUGUACCCGCGGCAAGACGGAAAGACCCCGUGAACCUUUACUAUAGCUUGACACUGAACAUUGAGCCUUGAUGUGUAGGAUAGGUGGGAGGCUUUGAAGUGUGGACGCCAGUCUGCAUGGAGCCGACCUUGAAAUACCACCCUUUAAUGUUUGAUGUUCUAACGUUGACCCGUAAUCCGGGUUGCGGACAGUGUCUGGUGGGUAGUUUGACUGGGGCGGUCUCCUCCUAAAGAGUAACGGAGGAGCACGAAGGUUGGCUAAUCCUGGUCGGACAUCAGGAGGUUAGUGCAAUGGCAUAAGCCAGCUUGACUGCGAGCGUGACGGCGCGAGCAGGUGCGAAAGCAGGUCAUAGUGAUCCGGUGGUUCUGAAUGGAAGGGCCAUCGCUCAACGGAUAAAAGGUACUCCGGGGAUAACAGGCUGAUACCGCCCAAGAGUUCAUAUCGACGGCGGUGUUUGGCACCUCGAUGUCGGCUCAUCACAUCCUGGGGCUGAAGUAGGUCCCAAGGGUAUGGCUGUUCGCCAUUUAAAGUGGUACGCGAGCUGGGUUUAGAACGUCGUGAGACAGUUCGGUCCCUAUCUGCCGUGGGCGCUGGAGAACUGAGGGGGGCUGCUCCUAGUACGAGAGGACCGGAGUGGACGCAUCACUGGUGUUCGGGUUGUCAUGCCAAUGGCACUGCCCGGUAGCUAAAUGCGGAAGAGAUAAGUGCUGAAAGCAUCUAAGCACGAAACUUGCCCCGAGAUGAGUUCUCCCUGACUCCUUGA